rnacentral:rRNA from 1 species
UACGUAGGGUGCGAGCGUUAAUCGGAAUUACUGGGCUUAAAGCGUGUGUAGGCGGAUCGUUAAGUGUCUUGUGAAAUCCCACGGCUCACCCGUGGAACGGCUGGGCAUACUGGCGAUCUUGGGCCAACUAGGGGCAACUGGAACAAGCGGUGGAGCGGUGAAAUGCGUAGAUAUCGCUUGGAACGCCAAAGGUGAAAACAGGUUGCUGGGGUUGUGCCGACGCUGAGACACGAAAGCCAGGGGAGCAAACGGG